rnacentral:lncRNA from 1 species
AUAUUAUUGUCAAAAAAGGUAUUUUGCAAUAACAAAUAGCAACGAAUAUGACUACAUGAACUGCCGCAACAUAUUAUCACUACAUAUGGUGAUUAUUUUUCUUUUUGAACUGUCAGGUUAAUUUAAACUUUUUACAUCUUAAAACAGUUGAAUCAUGUCAAGAUCUACAGAAGACCCUGCAUGGCAACAUGGGGUCAGACUUGAUCCCAACAAGAAAGACAAAAUUAUUUGUAAUUACUGUCAAAGAGUGAUAAGUAGUGGGGUACAUAGGUUCAAGCAACACUUGGCAGGGGUUAAGGGAGAAGUUUCUGCAUGCACUAGUGUCCCUAGUGCAUGCAAAAACAUGAAAAUUCUUAAUGGAGUACCUUCAUUUUUUAUUGAAUUCCUAAAAAACAAUAUUUAUAAUGAAUUUUAAUAAUUUUUUCGGAUUUUUUUGAAGCUUUAUUCUGACCGAUUCACC